rnacentral:rRNA from 1 species
AUUGAACGCUGGCGGCAGGCCUAACACACGCAAGUCGAGCGGAUGAAGGGAACUUGCUCCUGGAUUCAGCGGCGGACGGGUGAGUAAUGCCUAGGAAUCUGCCUGGUAGUGGGGGAUAACGUCCGGAAACGGGCGCUAAUACCGCAUACGUCCUGAGGGAGAAAGUGGGGGAUCUUCGGACCUCACGCUAUCAGAUGAGCCUAGGUCGGAUUAGCUAGUUGGUGGGGUAAAGGCCUACCAAGGCGACGAUCCGUAACUGGUCUGAGAGGAUGAUCAGUCACACUGGAACUGAGACACGGUCCAGACUCCUACGGGAGGCAGCAGUGGGGAAUAUUGGACAAUGGGCGAAAGCCUGAUCCAGCCAUGCCGCGUGUGUGAAGAAGGUCUUCGGAUUGUAAAGCACUUUAAGUUGGGAGGAAGGGCAGUAAGUUAAUACCUUGCUGUUUUGACGUUACCAACAGAAUAAGCACCGGCUAACUUCGUG